rnacentral:tmRNA from 1 species
GGGGUUGUACUGGUUUCGACGGGGGUUUUGAAAUUGUGGUAGCCAUUCGCAGACUAGGACUGCGUCAUCAACUUAGAACAAAAUAUAAACGCAAACGAUAAUUACGAAUUAGCAGCUGCUUAAUUGCAGCUCUUGUCGGCUCUAGGCAUCCUGCGG